GUUUGUGGCUCAGUGGUAGAGUGCUUGCCUAGCACGCGUAAGGCACUGGGUUCGAUCCUCAGCAACACA
rnacentral:tRNA from 1 species